UGGGGAAUUUUGGACAAUGGGGGAAACCCUGAUCCAGCCAUCCCGCGUGUGCGAUGAAGGCCUUCGGGUUGUAAAGCACUUUUGGCAGGAAAGAAACGUCAUGGGUUAAUACCCCGUGAAACUGACGGUACCUGCAGAAUAAGCACCGGCUAACUACGUGCCAGCAGCCGCGGUAAUACGUAGGGUGCAAGCGUUAAUCGGAAUUACUGGGCGUAAAGCGUGCGCAGGCGGUUCGGAAAGAAAGAUGUGAAAUCCCAGAGCUCAACUUUGGAACUGCAUUUUUAACUACCGGGCUAGAGUGUGUCAGAGGGAGGUGGAAUUCCGCGUGUAGCAGUGAAAUGCGUAGAUAUGCGGAGGAACACCGAUGGCGAAGGCAGCCUCCUGGGAUAGCACUGACGCUCAUGCACGAAAGCGUGGGGAGCAAACAGG
rnacentral:rRNA from 1 species